UUGAACGCUGGCGGCAUGCCUAACACAUGCAAGUCGAACGGUAACGCGGAGAGCUUGCUCUCUGGCGACGAGUGGCGGACGGGUGAGUAAUACUUAGGAAUCUGCCCAGUAUGGGGGACGAACAUUCGGAAACGGAUGCUAAUACCGCAUACGCACUACGGUGGAAAGUGGGGGACCUUCGGGCCUCACGCUAUUGGAUGAGCCUAAGUCGGAUUAGCUUGUUGGUGAGGUAAUAGCUCACCAAGGCGACGAUCCGUAGCUGGUCUGAGAGGACGAUCAGCCACACUGGGACUGAGACACGGCCCAGACUCCUACGGGAGGCAGCAGUGGGGGAAUAUUGGACAAUGGGCGCAAGCCUGAUCCAGCAAUGCCGCGUGUGUGAAGAAGGCCUGCGGGUUGUAAAGCACUUUCAGUAGAGAAGAAAAGCCUAGGGUUAAUACCCCUGAGUCUUGACGUAACCUACAGAAGAAGCACCGGCUAACUCCGUG
rnacentral:rRNA from 1 species